rnacentral:rRNA from 1 species
AUUGAACGCUGGCGGCAGGCCUAACACAUGCAAGUCGAACGAGUGGCGGACGGGUGAGUAAUGUCUGGGAAACUGCCUGAUGGAGGGGGAUAAAUACUGGAAACGGUAGCUAAUACCGCAUACCAUCAGAUGUGCCCAUAUGGGAUUAGCUGGUUGGUGGGGUAACGGCUCACCAAGGCGACGAUCCCGAGCUGGUCUGAGGGGAUGACCAGCCACACUGGGACUGAGGCACGGUCCCGACUCCUACGGGAGGGAGCAGUGGGGAAUAUUGCACAAUGGGAGCAAGCCUGAUACAGCCAUGCCCGGGGUAUGAAGAAGGCCUUCGGGUUUUAAAGUACUUUCAGCGGGGAGGCGUUACCCGCAGAAGAAGCACCGGCUAACUCCGUGCCAGCAGCCGCGGUAAUUC